GAUGAUUUUGUUUUUAUUUUAUGGAAAUUGUGCUCAAGAAAGUGAAAAACGGCAAAGCAUUGAAUUUUUAUUCAAUGCAAUGCUACCUUUUAUUCGAGUGACGUGAAGGAAAAUCGUUCAUUUUUUCCAAGGAAUUUGAUCACCCCAGAUGGACUGGAGGAAAGACAGCUCGCAAGGAUUUCAAGAGGAACUAUUCGUGGUAUUAACAAAAGUUACGCUCAGACCUCAUCGACCUGGCCAUCACUUAAGUCGACAAGACUACAAGUUUUCUUGAAGGAAAUAGUCCAGGAUCUGAAGCUAGAAUCCGGCUGAACAACAUUGGAAAACAUAAAUGCGACAUAAAAGCCGGGAAUCCCUAUCACGCACAAUCAGUUUAGCAGAAAGUAAAUUGAGGCUCAUGUCGGGAUAACUCAACUAUUCAUCUUCCUGUGCGGGGAUUCAGAGGUUCUCCUUAAGCUCAUCUGCUCACCAAACCCACAGGAGAUUUUAAAGCAGUAGCUGAACAGCAAUUUGCAGUCAAGGAUCUUCCAGAGUAUAAUGGAUCGCUGAUCCUCCUUUUAUCUCAGCUUUGGAUUUGGACUUUUUGCCGCAAUUUAUGGCCCGGAAUAGAUGACGAGUGAAGACAUCAAUACAGAAGGAAAACUAUCAAUUUGAUUUUCUAUGUUCAAAGUAUUAUUUAUUUUAGUUUAUGUUUUACAAAAAUACUCUAUUAACAAUUUUUUUUUAAAUUUAAUAAAGAAUAAAAUUUAAUAAAGAGUGAAUUUUCUUUAUUCAUGAAGAUUUUUCUUUGAUUUUUCACUGGCAGGAAAUUUUUAAACUCGAGAGAACAAUUUCUUUGGCAUUGUUGGAGAUUGCAGGAUCCUCGGAGCUGAGAUUGGGAAGGAAUUGUGUCCCGUGACAUA